CUACACAUGCAGUCGAGCGGUAGCACAGAGAGCUUGCUCUCGGGUGACGAGCGGCGGACGGGUGAGUAAUGUCUGGGAAACUGCCUGAUGGAGGGGGAUAACUACUGGAAACGGUAGCUAAUACCGCAUAAUGUCGCAAGACCAAAGUGGGGGACCUUCGGGCCUCAUGCCAUCAGAUGUGCCCAGAUGGGAUUAGCUAGUAGGUGGGGUAACGGCUCACCUAGGCGACGAUCCCUAGCUGGUCUGAGAGGAUGACCAGCCACACUGGAACUGAGACACGGUCCAGACUCCUACGGGAGGCAGCAGUGGGGAAUAUUGCACAAUGGGCGCAAGCCUGAUGCAGCCAUGCCGCGUGUGUGAAGAAGGCCUUCGGGUUGUAAAGCACUUUCAGCGGGGAGGAAGGCGGUGAGGUUAAUAACCUUGUCGAUUGACGUUACCCGCAGAAGAAGCACCGGCUAACUCCGUGCCAGCAGCCGCGGUAAUACGGAGGGUGCAAGCGUUAAUCGGAAUUACUGGGCGUAAAGCGCACGCAGGCGGUCUGUCAAGUCGGAUGUGAAAUCCCCGGGCUCAACCUGGGAACUGCAUUCGAAACUGGCAGGCUAGAGUCUUGUAGAGGGGGGUAGAAUUCCAGGUGUAGCGGUGAAAUGCGUAGAGAUCUGGAGGAAUACCGGUGGCGAAGGCGGCCCCCUGGACAAAGACUGACGCUCAGGUGCGAAAGCGUGGGGAGCAAACAGGAUUAGAUACCCUGGUAGUCCACGCCGUAAACGAUGUCGAUUUGGAGGUUGUGCCCUUGAGGCGUGGCUUCCGGAGCUAACGCGUUAAAUCGACCGCCUGGGGAGUACGGCCGCAAGGUUAAAACUCAAAUGAAUUGACGGGGGCCCGCACAAGCGGUGGAGCAUGUGGUUUAAUUCGAUGCAACGCGAAGAACCUUACCUGGUCUUGACAUCCACAGAACUUACCAGAGAUGCAUUGGUGCCUUCGGGAACUGUGAGACAGGUGCUGCAUGGCUGUCGUCACCUCGUGUUGUGAAAUGUUGGGUUAAUUCCCGCAACGAGCGCACCCUUAUCCU
rnacentral:rRNA from 1 species